GCAUAGCACUAGUUGUAUUGUAUGUUGAACCAAAUUUUGCUUUUGUGAGGUAAAUACCCUUGACAUAGUGUAUAAUAAUUUUUACAUGUUUCUGGUUUGUUUUACUAAUAUUUCCUUGAUGAUUUUUGCCCCUGUAUUCAUAAGGUGUAUUGUUCUUCAUUUUCCAUAUUUGAAAUGUCUUUGUCUAAUUGUGGUAUCAGGGUAAACUAACUCAGUAUACAAUGGGAAAUCACGCCUUCUCCACUUUUUGGGAAUAAUUUGUAAUAAAUUAGUAUUAAUUGUUUAAAUGAUUCCAAUAAUUCACUAGUGAAUUCUUCUUGAUGAGGUCAGAGAGGUUAAUCCUAGGAACAGUUACAUGAGCUUGGAAGGAGACCCUUCCCCAGCUGAGCCUUAGCCUGGGCCAUCACCUACAUCUGGACUGAAGAACCAGAGAAACUGUGAGUAAUAUGUGUGUGGUUUUGAACCACUAAGAUAUAUAGUAAUUUGUUAUGCACCAAGUCUUAGGUAAUAUACCUGACGGUAAUUGCAAUGUGGUAUUCUAGAUUAGGUCUUGGAACAGAUAAAUAUAUCAUUAUUAGAAAUUCUGGUAAAGUAUGAAGGAAGUCUGUAGAUCAGUCAAUAGUUUUGAAACAUAGUGAAAUUUUUAGUUUUCAUGAAUAUACUAUGGUUAUAAUAGUAACAUUUUAAUUAGCUGAAGGGUGUAUGAAACUGUCUGUUCUACCUGUGUAUCUUUUUAUAAAUCUGAAAUUAUUUCAAAAUAAAUUUGUUUUCUAAAAUUAUUAAAAUUUUAAAAAGAAAACAAAAGCAUAAGUAAAAAACUGGCUUCCAGAGAUGAAUGGGCACAUAUGGAGAGAAUAGCAAACUAGCGUUCUUUUUAUCUCAUCACCUUUCCAAACCCUGGUGCACCUGCUUCAAGAAGGCACCAUCAAGCUCCAGGGACUGUCAUCCUUUUUCUCCUUCUCUGUUACCCAGUCACCAGUUGGAGUGUCAGCAACCACUUAUUCAGAAAAAGUUGCCUUUCCUUCCCAUAUCCCAGAAAGCCCCAUGUGUAGACAUCAUUUAGCAGUGUGUAUUCAGGAUCCCACUGAAGCAUUUUUGGGAAAUAUGACUCUCAGAUAUUAGAAGCCAAGAAUAAGAAAUUUCAGUGACAGGGAACAUAAAUCUUAUUUCUUCUUUCAGGAUAAUGUGUUGUUGGUACAGGGAUUUCUUCUUCAAGUAAUCAAAAGACAACUGUACCUUCAAAAGCUUCAGAGAAAUAUGUUCUAGUUUAGUUCUUUUGAUUCUACAGACUCCAUCAGGAAUCGUUUGGGACCGUGCAUUCUGUUGACACUCACAUUGUGGAAUUAUGUUGCCCACUGCCAACCCUAAAGCCACCAAGGUAGCAGAGUCUGCGCUGACUUUCUACAGGAAAUGUAUAAAGGAACCUUGAGUUUGAUACUGUCUGCCGCAGAGUCUUUUCUCACUUUGACUGUGUAGAAUGUGUCUUGUCUUACAUGGUUUGGAAUAAUUAAUCAGUGAAGUCUUCUCACCCUGGUCAAUCACGUGAACUUGGAAAAUGAUUCCUCCCCAGCUGAUCCUUCAGGAAUAUAGUUUACUCAAUCAUGAAAAGGUGUAAAUAGCUGAAAAGAAAAAUGUUGUCUUGACUCUGAAAAACAACAAAAAGGAUCAGCAACAUUUCAAGCAACCAGUCAUAAAAGGAUUAUUGUGGUCUUCUACUAGUUCAGUCCAUGCAGUUAACUUUGUCUGACAUUGGGCCUGCAGUCCUCAUAAACAUACCAGCUAUCUCUG